GAACAGGUGAUUGACUUAAAGAAGACAUUAGCAGCCACCAUUUGUUAAAGGAUUAUCGUCCAGCAUGUCAUGAUUAUACAUUAUCUCAUUCAAUCUCCACGUGAAUAGGCUCAUGAUAGAAAAACGUGGGAAGAUUCCAGAGGCGAACAUAACUUUCUUUCAAACCAUAGAGCAUGAAUCAAAACUGUGGCUCCAACACAGUUAGGGACCUUUCUUCUCAGACUUCUUGGCAAGCCGACUAGUUUUUUCUAGACGCACCAAAGCAUUCUAAGUGAGCGACCUGUUAAAACCUAUGAACCCAUACGUUGGUUUCACCAUGAGUUGGAGUAAUAGCAGGGAUAGUCGUGGGACUUCAGAAGAGAUGACAGGAGCUGGGACUGCAAAAGGUGGAAGUUGCAAACAAGAUCAUCAGCCGGGAAUCCAGCAGGACCAAGGGUCGCUCGACGGUGACACCAGUCAGACACUGGGCAUGUGGCAGGAGCCACUGCAAUGGGCACCGGGCACAGUAGUACAAUCUCGAGCCCUACAACAACCCGGAGUACACUGGCUGUGAGUGCAUGGUGGUCAGUUUGAUGUGUCAAUUUGGCUACACUACAGUCCUUGGGUAUGCCACCGAACACUAAUGAAGGUGUGGCUAUGAAUAGAUUUUGUAAAUGUGAGUGAAGUCUACAG